GCUCCAAUAGCGUAUAUUAAAGUUGUUGCGUUAAAAAGCUCGUAGUUGGAACUUUUUGAACUCGGGUUUGGUCCACCUAACAGUGCGUACUGAUCUCGGGUUCAACACCUCUUGGACGCCGGCGUGUUCUUAAUUGGACGCGUCUUGGAUGUUCAAGACUUUUUACUUUGAAAAAAAUUAGAGUGUUCAAGCAGGCUAGC
rnacentral:rRNA from 1 species